AACGAACGCUGGCGGCAUGCCUAACACAUGCCAGUCGAACGAUCCCUUCGGGGAUAGUGGCGCACGGGUGCGUAACGCGUGGGAACCUGCCCUUAGGUUCGGAAUAACUCAGAGAAAUUUGAGCUAAUACCGGAUAAUGUCUUCGGACCAAAGAUUUAUCGCCUUUGGAUGGGCCCGCGUUGGAUUAGCUAGUUGGUGGGGUAAAGGCCUACCAAGGCGACGAUCCAUAGCUGGUCUGAGAGGAUGAUCAGCCACACUGGGACUGAGACACGGCCCAGACUCCUACGGGAGGCAGCAGUGGGGAAUAUUGGACAAGGGGCGAAAGCCUGAUCCAGCAAUGCCGCGUGAGUGAUGAAGGCCUUAGGGUUGUAAAGCUCUUUUACCCGGGAUGAUAAUGACAGUACCGGGAGAAUAAGCCCCGGCUAACUCCGUG
rnacentral:rRNA from 1 species